rnacentral:rRNA from 1 species
CCUACGGGUGGCAGCAGUGAGGAAUAUUGGUCAAUGGCCGUAAGGCUGAACCAGCCAAGUCGCGUGAAGGAAGAAGGAUCUAUGGUUUGUAAACCUCUUUUAUAGGGGAAUAAAUGUAUCCACGUGUGGAUAUUUGCAUGUACCCUAUGAAUAAGCAUCGGCUAACUCCGUGCCAGCAGCCGCGGUAAUUCGGAGGAUGCGAGCGUUAUCCGGAUUUAUUGGGUUUAAAGGGUGCGUAGGUUGUUUUUUAAGUCAGAGGUGAAAGUUUGUGGCUCAACCAUAGAAUUGCCGUUGAAACUGGAAGACUUGAGUAUGUUUGAGGUAGGCGGAAUUCGUGGUGUAGCGGUGAAAUGCAUAGAUAUCACGAAGAACUCCGAUUGCGAAGGCAGCUUGCUAAGACAUAACUGACACUGAGGCACGAAAGCGUGGGGAUCAAACAGGAUUAGAUACCCUGGUAGUC